rnacentral:rRNA from 1 species
AACGAACGCUGGCGGCAUGCCUAACACAUGCAAGUCGAACGAGACCUUCGGGUCUAGUGGCGCACGGGUGCGUAACGCGUGGGAAUCUACCCUUGGGUUCGGAAUAACAGUUAGAAAUGACUGCUAAUACCGGAUGAUGACGUAAGUCCAAAGAUUUAUCGCCCAAGGAUGAGCCCGCGUAAGAUUAGCUUGUUGGUGGGGUAAUGGCCUACCAAGGCGACGAUCUUUAGCUGGUCUGAGAGGAUGAUCAGCCACACUGGGACUGAGACACGGCCCAGACUCCUACGGGAGGCAGCAGUGGGGAAUAUUGGACAAUGGGCGAAAGCCUGAUCCAGCAAUGCCGCGUGAGUGAUGAAGGCCUUAGGGUUGUAAAGCUCUUUUACCAGGGAUGAUAAUGACAGUACCUGGAGAAUAAGCUCCGGCUAACUCCGUGCCAGCAGCCGCGGUAA